UAAGACAAAAGGUAAGGUGGUCCACUUUUAAAAGUGGUUUACCAUAAUCUAUCUUUUAGAUUAAUCUAACACACAUAACAAUGAAGUAUAGCUUCUGCACUAUAUUUUAUCAUCUCUUCUAUGUAGAAGCUGACCUCCAUGCGCUGCCAGUUACCAUUUGUCAGUGAUGAUUUAUGACGAAAGCACACAAGCACUGUAGAGGUCAAGGACAACGUCGCACAAAGGAAAGACUAUGACACAUGGAGGAGAUACAACACUGAAGGAGCCACGAUGCCUAGAGGAGAGACGACACCACACAAAGGAAACACGCUACAAAGAAAAGGCACGACUUGGUGUAGAAGAGACACGACUUGCGAGACAGACGUACCCAACACAAAUUUGUUGUAGCAACCGCAAUGAUGGUUACAAUAACAGAGGAUACAACCGUAGUGGUAGAGACAACAACUAUGCUGACUGUUGGGAAAGUAGAUAUAACUGUAACAGCACACUCUAAUGAUGGUCACAUCUGUUUCUAUUCGAUAGUGCUCGCAUCUCUUUCUCUCCCUUCGAUGGGUAGAACUCCAACGAUGACCAAGUCUCUCUCCCUUUGUGGAUGCUAUGUGGUGAUUAAGGCAAGCAAUCCCAAGAAAAAGAAGAAAAUUUGUUAUGGUGUAGAGAGCCCAUAAUAACAAUCUGCACCCCAUUUUAAUCAAAAGGCUAAUAAUUAUGGUGCAUGAUGGAACACCUAUAAAAGUGGUUCAUCCUUAAGUUCCUCUUUUAUUUUACAAACAAGCAAUAAAGUAAAUGUUUUUAUUA